AAGUGCAUUUCUAAGUGUAACAUGGAAUUGUUUUACCUGUUGUAAAGCAAUUUAAACAGUGUGCUAGCUAGGUUUAAGGAGUACAAUAUUACAACAAAGACCAUGAGUCUUUUACCCCUUUGCGUAAAGACACACGGAGUUGUAACUCAGUGAUACAGCU